AUAGCGUAUCGAAGGUAGACGCGGAGAACUGAAACAUCUUAGUACCCGCAGGAAGAGAAAGAAAAAUCGAUUCCCUGAGUAGCGGCGAGCGAAACGGGAAUAGCCCAAACCAACGAGCUUGCUUGUUGGGGUUGUAGGACACUCUAUACGGAGUUACAAAGGAAUAGAUUAGACGAAGCAUCUGGAAAGGUGCAUCAAAGAAGGUAAUAAUCCUGUAGUCGAAAAUCUGUUCUCUCUUGAGUGGAUCCUGAGUACGACGGAACACGAGAAAUUCCGUCGGAAUCCGGGAGGACCA
rnacentral:rRNA from 1 species